rnacentral:rRNA from 1 species
CUGUGCAAAGGUAGCAUAAUCAUUAGUUUUUUAAUUGAAAACUUGUAUGAAGGGUCUGACAAAGAAAAAUCUGUCUUCAAUUUUAUUUUUGAAAUUAACUUUUAAGUGAAAAGGCUUAAAUAAAUUUAAGGGACGAUAAGACCCUAUAAAUCUUUAUAUUAUAUUAUUAUCUUUAAUUUUAAUCAAUUUGUCUAGAAUUAUAAGUAAUAUAAUAAAUAUUUUGUUGGGGUGACGAGAAUAUAAAGUUAACUGUUCUUAUAAAAAACAAAGUUGUUUGUUUAAUAAUGAUAGAUCCUUUUUAAAGAUUAUAAGAUUAAGUUACUUUAGGGAUAACAGCGUUAUUUUUUUUGAGAGUUCAUAUCGAAAAGAAAGUUUGCGACCUCGAUGUUGAAUUAAAAUUUCUCUACGGUGUAGAAGUUGUGGAAGAGAGUCUGUUCGACUUUUAAAAUUUU